GUAGGGCGGGACACGUGGUAUCCUGUCUGAAUAUGGGGGGACCAUCCUCCAAGGCUAAAUACUCCUGACUGACCGAUAGUGAACCAGUACCGUGAGGGAAAGGCGAAAAGAACCCCGGCGAGGGGAGUGAAAAAGAACCUGAAACCGUGUACGUACAAGCAGUGGGAGCACAGGUUUACCUGUGUGACUGCGUACCUUUUGUAUAAUGGGUCAGCGACUUAUAUUCUGUAGCAAGGUUAACCGAAUAGGGGAGCCGCAGGGAAACCGAGUCUUAACCGGGCGUUAAGUUGCAGGGUAUAGACCCGAAACCCGGUGAUCUAGCCAUGGGCAGGUUGAAGGUUGGGUAACACUAACUGGAGGACCGAACCGACUAAUGUUGAAAAAUUAGCGGAUGACCUGUGGCUGGGGGUGAAAGGCCAAUCAAACCGGGAGAUAGCUGGUUCUCCCCGAAAGCUAUUUAGGUAGCGCCUCGUGAACUCAUCUCCGGGGGUAGAGCACUGUUUCGGCUAGGGGGUCAUCCCGACUUACCAACCCGAUGCAAACUGCGAAUACCGGAGAAUGUUAUCACGGGAGACACACGGCGGGUGCUAACGUCCGUCGUGAAGAGGGAAACAACCCAGACCGCCAGCUAAGGUCCCAAAGUCAUGGUUAAGUGGGAAACGAUGUGGGAAGGCCCAGACAGCCAGGAUGUUGGCUUAGAAGCAGCCAUCAUUUAAAGAAAGCGUAAUAGCUCACUGGUCGAGUCGGCCUGCGCGGAAGAUGUAACGGGGCUAAACCAUGCACCGAAGCUGCGGCAGCGAC
rnacentral:rRNA from 1 species